AGUGAACGCUGGCGGUAGGCCUAACACAUGCAAGUCGAACGGCAGCACAGUAAGAGCUUGCUCUUACGGGUGGCGAGUGGCGGACGGGUGAGGAAUACAUCGGAAUCUACUUUUUCGUGGGGGAUAACGUAGGGAAACUUACGCUAAUACCGCAUACGACCUACGGGUGAAAGCAGGGGAUCUUCGGACCUUGCGCGAUUGAAUGAGCCGAUGUCGGAUUAGCUAGUUGGCGGGGUAAAGGCCCACCAAGGCGACGAUCCGUAGCUGGUCUGAGAGGAUGGUCAGACACACCGGAACUGAGGACCGGGCCCGACUCCUACGGGAGGCAGCAGUGGGGAAUAUUGGACAAUGGGCGCAAGCCUGAUCCAGCCAUACCGCGUGGGUGAAGAAGGCCUUCGGGUUGUAAAGCCCUUUUGUUGGGAAAGAAAAGCAGCAGGUUAAUACCCCGCUGUUCUGACGGUACCCAAAGAAUAAGCACCGGCUAACUUCGUG
rnacentral:rRNA from 1 species